CUGCCGAGAGUGUCCUCAGCGCCAGCAUUUCCUGGCCUAAUUAAGCUGGGUAAUGAGUAGCUAAGAGGAGGGGAUAAAAGCCCUAGGUGGCUUAAAGCUGGGACAGUUUAUGACAGGGGCGUCUGCAGCUGGUGACAUUCCUAGGAAAGUUAUUUCUCAUAACCCUGGGAAGUUGCAUGCUGUUUCCUCAGCAGCAGAGUAAGACCCAAAGGACAUUCUGAUUGUCAUAACUGCGGGAGGCAGCCAACUUGCUACUUCACCUGGAGAGUAGAGGCUGAGGAUGCUGCUGAACAUCCCACAGUGCCCAGGACAGCCUCCAAAUCAAAGAAAUAUCUGGCGCAAAUGUCAGCGGUGCCGAGGAUGAGAAGCCCUGCCGGGCAAGUGGGAAGAAGAGCUCUGCCCACUGAUUCCUCCUGGCAGAAAAGUUCCCACUGGGCUCCUCUCUACCCUGCCCAGUGGGUCUGCAGCUGUUUUGUUUCCAGGAGCCUGAGAGAGAGACAGAAGCAGCUGGGAGGAGAAAAAGCAACGCGGCCAGGGGCCCUACUGGUCCUUCUGCCUUAGCCACAGGUUCUGAAACCAAAGCAAAACCACCAGAGAGUGAUUCAU